ensembl:snRNA U6 U6 spliceosomal RNA
UGGCUUCAGUAGCACAUAUACUAAAUUAAGGACAAUACAGAGAAAAUUAGCAUGGCCCCUGCACAAGGAUGACAUUCAAAUUUGUGAAACAUUCCAUACUUAA